rnacentral:rRNA from 1 species
UUACGCACUCCUACGGGAGGCAGCAGUGGGGAAUAUUGCACAAUGGGCGCAAGCCUGAUGCAGCCAUGCCGCGUGUAUGAAGAAGGCCUUCGGGUUGUAAAGUACUUUCAGCAGUGAGGAAGGUGGGUAUGUUAAUAGCAUAUUCAUUUGACGUUAGCUGCAGAAGAAGCACCGGCUAACUCCGUGCCAGCAGCCGCGGUAAUACGGAGGGUGCGAGCGUUAAUCGGAAUUACUGGGCGUAAAGCGCAUGCAGGUGGUUUGUUAAGUCAGAUGUGAAAGCCCGGGGCUCAACCUCGGAAUUGCAUUUGAAACUGGCAAACUAGAGUACUGUAGAGGGGGUAGAAUUUCAGGUGUAGCGGUGAAAUGCGUAGAGAUCUGAAGGAAUACCGGUGGCGAAGGCGGCCCCCUGGACAGAUACUGACACUCAGAUGCGAAAGCGUGGGGAGCAAACAGGAUUAGAUACCCUGGUAG